rnacentral:rRNA from 1 species
GAUGAACGCUGGCGGCGUGCUUAACACAUGCAAGUCGAACGAUGAAGCCCAGCUUGCUGGGUGGAUUAGUUGCGAACGGGUGAGUAACACGUGAGUAACCUGCCCUUGACUCUGGGAUAAGCCUGGGAAACUGGGUCUAAUACUUGAUAUGACUUCUCAUCGCAUGGUGGGGGGUGGAAAGAUUUAUUGGUCUUGGAUGGACUCGCGGCCUAUCAGCUUGUUGGUGAGGUAAUGGCUCACCAAGGCGACGACGGGUAGCCGGCCUGAGAGGGUGACCGGCCACACUGGUAAUGAGACAAGGACCAGACUCCUACGGGAGGCAGCAGUGGGGAAUAUUGCGCAAAGGGCGCAAGCAUGAUGCAGCGACGACGCGUGAGGGAUGACGGCCUUCGGGUUGUAAGCCUCUUUCAGUAGGGAAGAAGCGAGAGUGACGGUACCUGCAGAAGAAGCGCCGGCUAACUACGG